UACAGAGGUCUCAAGCGUUGUUCGGAUUCAUUGGGCGUAAAGGGUGCGUAGGCGGCGUGGUAAGUCGGGUGUGAAAUCUCGGAGCUUAACUCCGAAACUGCAUUCGAUACUGCCGUGCUUGAGGACUGGAGAGGAGACUGGAAUUUACGGUGUAGCGGUGAAAUGCGUAGAUAUCGUAAGGAAGACCAGUGGCGAAGGCGGGUCUCUGGACAGUUCCUGACGCUGAGGCACGAAGGCCAGGGGGAGCAAAACAGG
rnacentral:rRNA from 1 species